AACACGUGCGUUGCACGUGUAUAUCGUGCUAAUUAGUAUAAAUACUUCUAAUAUAUAAGCGUACGAUGUGUAAAAUACAAGUUCGAAUCAAUGAACGGUGAUUAUAUUCAACUGAUAUUAUCAUCAUUGCAAGGCACAUCAUACAAAAAUAUUGUUAUCAAGUGAUUUCAAACGUAAUACUAUAACGACUUCAAAUAUACAAUUCUUAUAAUAAAUCAAUUAUUCAACUUGUUAAGAGUACUUUUUUUAAUACGUCACAACACAUAAUUUAAAUGUCGGCACUAUAGUUGCAAAAUAUUUAAUGCCUUAAAGUUUCCGUCUUCUUUUUAAGGAAUUGUAGCCUCCACUUUUUUUUUACAGAUGCAUACAUAUCGAGAAGUUAUCAUUGAAAGGGAGUAGUGUUCUAUAAUAGUUGUAGAGAAAUUCAAUCAACAUAUAUCUUCUUUAGGAUGGUUAGUAGAUCAUUAUCAAGUUCAUAUUGUACACCUACAAAAAAAAUAGUAUUUAUUUGUUAUAAAAAUAAUCAUUGUUUAAAUAUUUUAUAGACAUGAAUAUGUACUCUUCGUCUUCUUUGACUCAUUCAAAAUUAUUAAUUCUGUCAUCUUUAAAUUUUGAAUUAUGAAAUACAACACAAUCACUUGUAAGAUAUUAACAAUAUGGUAGAAAAAAAGAAAACAAUAUAAACCAAUAAUUAUAUGGUGCAAAAAAUAAAUGCAUAAAGAAAAGAUAACUUUGAAUAUGUGUAUAUACAUACUUAUGAACCAACCAAAAAACAAAUGAAUUACAUAUAAGAAAAUUUGAAAUCAUCAAAUAAAAGUUCAAUGAAAUAGAAGUAUUUUCAAAGGAUAAAUAAACAGAUAAUAAAAGUAUUACUCCAUCUAAAUAAGUUCAGAUUCCAGCAUUUAUAUAAUUAGACAUCAAAUCAAGACUUUAUAAAACAAAAGUAUUUUCAUCAAAAAAAGAAGAAGAAAAGAGAACAAUGAAAGUACUACUCUACCUUACUGAAGUUCAGUUUCUACUGCUCAUACAAUUAGAUACAUAGUGAUAAUAGAGUUUAAAUAUAAAUAGGAGAUAUUAGGAGAGAUGAAAAGACUUAUAACUGAUUUGAAUAUAAUAUUUAAUGUAAAAUUAUGUCUUUUUGGAUUCUUAAAUAUAACACAUAAAUAAGAGAAAAUAAAAAGAUUUUUACCUAAUGACAUUAUGCUGUUGUUUAAUGAGGAAUUAUGUCUCCUUGGUUUAUUAAUGUGGUUGAAGAGUAUAUGAACGAAUUUUGAUGAGUGGUGCAACUAUUUAAUAUGUUAUUAUUUAAUUAUCUAAUUAUUAAUUAAAUAUAGUGGGAAAAGGCAAAUUUGAAGAGAAACCAAUUGUGAUCUUUGAACUUUUGUUUAUAAGAUGUUACCCACGUUACAUGGACUUUUGGACUUCUUAUUAAAUAAAAUGAAAAGAAUUAGUGAAAAAGGAUAACUAAAAGUGGGAAAAGCAGAUUUUUUUUA
rnacentral:lncRNA from 1 species